GUCGAGAAUCAUUCACAAUGGGGGAAACCCUGAUGGUGUGACGCCGCGUGGAGGAUGAAGGUCUUCGGAUUGUAAACUCCUGUCAUGUGGGAGUAAAGCCGGGUGUUAAAUGCAUGCCGGUCUGAGAGUACCACAAGAGGAAGGGACGGCUAACUCUGUGCCAGCAGCCGCGGUAAUACAGAGGUCCCAAGCGUUGUUCGGAAUCACUGGGCGUAAAGGGUGCGUAGGCGGCGCGGAAAGUCAGGGGUGAAAUCCCGGAGCUCAACUCCGGAACUGCCUUUGAUACUCCCGCGCUUGAGAACUGGAGGGGAGACCGGAAUUCACGGUGGAGCAGUGAAAUGCGUGGAUAUCGUGAGGAACACUAGUGGCGAAGGCGGGUCUCUGGACAGUAUCUGACGCUGAGGCACGAAGGCCAGGGGAGCGAACGGGAUUAGAUACCCCUGUAGUCC
rnacentral:rRNA from 1 species